GCUUCUGGGAGCUGCUGCUUCGCUGUGAGAAGUAUCCGCGACGAGCUAUCCGGGAAAGGGCCGAAUGCGAUCAAACCUAAUCCGCGAGACUUGCUAAAAAUUUAAAUCUUUUCAUGAAACAUUAUUGAACUAUGAUACAUUUACAGUGGAACAUAAUGACCUAGUGCUCUUCAGACUUCACUGGAAAAAUACUGAGGUGAACUUGAUGCUAAAUGAUGGAAAAGAGAAAUAUGAAAAAGAAAAAAUAAAAAGCAUAAGUUCUGAGCAUGUCAAUGAAGAAAAAGCAGAAGAACACAUGGAUCUGAGGCUAAAGCAUUGCUUAGCCUAUGUUCUACAUACAUCAGGGACUACAGGGAUACCGAAGAUUGUCAGAGUGCCUCAUAAGUGUAUAGUACCAAAUAUCCAGCAUUUUCGGCAACACCAACAUUGCUUAGAAGAUUUGGAUCUCAGCUUAUCAAGUCAACUGUUUUGUCAGCCACUACUUCUCUUCGAGUAUUAGCCCUUGGUGGUGAAGCGUUUCCAUCAUUGACAGUUCUCA
rnacentral:ncRNA from 2 species